UGGCUCAGAACGAACGCUGGCGGCGUGCUUAACACAUGCAAGUCGAGCGAUGAAGCACCUUCGGGUGUGGAUUAGCGGCGAACGGGUGAGGAACACGUGAGGAAUCUGCCUUCCACUCUGGGAUAACUCCGGGAAACCGGGGCUAAUACCGGAUACUUUCAACUGGCGGCAUCGCCGGUUGAAGAAAGUUUUUCGGUGGAAGAUGACCUCGCGGCCUAUCAGCUUGUUGGUGAGGUAAUGGCUCACCAGAGAAACGACGGGUAGCCGGCCUGAGAGGGCGACCGGCCACA
rnacentral:rRNA from 1 species